rnacentral:sRNA from 1 species
GUCUAGCCCUGAUUGAAACGGCAUCCUUUUUUUAUUUUUCUUAAAAAAAGAUAUAGUGAAAAGCAGGAAAUAGC